AGCAGCCGCGGUAAUUCCAGCUCCAAUAGCGUAUAUUAAAGUUGUUGCAGUUAAAAACUCGUAGUUGAAUUUCGAGAUCAAAUUGUUGGUCGUGCCUCGGUACGCACUGGCAUUAUUGAUUUCUCCCUUCUGACGAUCCGCGAUGUCAUUAAUUUGGUGUCGCGGGGAAUCAGGACUGUUACUUUGAAAAAAGUUAGAGUGUUUAAAGCAGGCUCACGCUUGAAUACAUUAGCAUGGAAUAAUGAAAUAGGACGUUUGAUUCUAUUUUGUUGGUUUCUAGGAUCGACGUAAUGAUUAAUAGGGAUAGUUGGGGGCAUUAGUAUUCAAUUGUCAGAGGUGAAAGUUCUUGGAUUUAUUGAAGACUAACUAUUGCGAAAUGCAUUUGCCAGGAUGUUUUCAUUAAUCAAGAACGAAAGUUAGGGGAUCGAAGACGAUCAGAUACCGUCGUAGUCUUAACCAUAAAACUAUGCCGACUAGGGAUCGGAUGAUGUUGAUUUUUGAAUGACUCAUUCGGCACCUU
rnacentral:rRNA from 1 species